rnacentral:rRNA from 1 species
UACGAAGGGUGCAAGCGUUAAUCGGAAUUACUGGGCGUAAGGCGUGCGCAGGCGGUUCGUUGUGUCGGCGGUGAAAGCCCCGGGCUUAACCUGGGAAUGGCCGUUGAAACUGGCGAACUGGAGUGUGGCAGAGGGGGGUGGAAUUCCGCGUGUAGCAGUGAAAUGCGUAGAGAUGCGGAGGAACACCGAUGGCGAAGGCAGCCCCCUGGGCUAACACUGACGCUCAGGCACGAAAGCGUGGGGAGCAAACAGG